rnacentral:rRNA from 1 species
GUCUACGGCCAAACCUAGACGAAAACACCAGUUCCCGUCCGAUCACUGCAGUUAAGCGUCUGAGGGUCUCGUCUCGUUAGUUUAGGAGUAAAUGUAUGCA